GGGAAACUCACCAGGUCCAGACAUAGCAAGGAUUGACAGAAUGACAGCUCUUUCUUGAUUCUGUGGGUGGUGGUGCAUGGCCGUUCUUAGUUGGUGGAGUGAUUUGUCUGGUUAAUUCCGUUAACGAACGAGAUCUUAUCCUGCUAAAUAGGAACGUGUGUCUUCGGACAUGCAGGUUGCUUCUUAGAGGGACUUUGCGAAUUGAAGCGUAGGGAAGGUUGAGGCAAUAA
rnacentral:rRNA from 1 species